GACGAACGCUGGCGGCGUGCUUAACACAUGCAAGUCGAACGGAAAGGCCCUGCUUUUGUGGGGUGCUCGAGUGGCGAACGGGUGAGUAACGCGUGAGUAACCUGCCCUUGACUUUGGGAUAACUUCAGGAAACUGGGGCUAUUACCGCAUAGGACCUCUUGCUGCAUGUGGGGGGUUGGAAAGUUUCGGCGGUUGGGGAUGGACUCGCGGCUUAUCAGCUGGUUGGUGGGGUAGUGGCUUACCAAGGCUUUGACGGGUAGCCGGCCUGAGAGGGUGACCGGCCACAUUGGGACUGAGAUACGGCCCAGACUCCUACGGGAGGCAGCAGUGGGGAAUAUUGCACAAUGGGCGGAAGCCUGAUGCAGCAACGCCGCGUGCGGGAUGACGGCCUUCGGGUUGUAAACCGCUUUCGCCUGUGACGAAGCGUGAGUGACGGUAAUGGGUAAAGAAGCACCGGCUAACUACGUG
rnacentral:rRNA from 1 species